ACUUAAAUUGAAGAGUUUGAUCAUGGCUCAGAUUGAACGCUGGCGGCAGGCCUAACACAUGCAAGUCGAGCGGUAGCACAGAGAGCUUGCUCUCGGGUGACGAGCGGCGGACGGGUGAGUAAUGUCUGGGAAACUGCCUGAUGGAGGGGGANUAACUACUGGAAACGGUAGCUAAUACCGCAUAACGUCGCAAGACCAAAGUGGGGGACCUUCGGGCCUCAUGCCAUCAGAUGUGCCCAGAUGGGAUUAGCUAGUAGGUGGGGUAACGGCUCACCUAGGCGACGAUCCCUAGCUGGUCUGAGAGGAUGACCAGCCACACUGGAACUGAGACANCGGUCCAGACUCCUACGGGAGGCAGCAGUGGGGAAUAUUGCACAAUGGGCGCAAGCCNUGAUGCAGCCAUGCCGCGUGUGUGAAGAAGGCCUUCGGGUUGUAAAGCACUUUCAGCGGGGAGGAAGGCGUUAAGGUUAAUAACCUUGGCGAUUGACGUUACCCGCAGAAGAAGCACCGGCUAACUCCGUGCCAGCAGCCGCGGUAAUACGGAGGGUGCAAGCGUUAAUCNGGAAUUACUGGGCGUAAAGCGCACGCAGGCGGUCUGUCAAGUCGGAUGUGAAAUCCCCGGGCUCAACCUGGGAACUGCAUUCGAAACUGGCAGGCNUAGAGUCUUGUAGAGGGGGGUAGNAAUUCCAGGUGUAGCGGUGAAAUGCGUAGAGAUCUGGAGGAAUACCGGUGGCGAAGGCGGCCCCCUGGACAAAGACUGACGCUCAGGUGCGAAAGCGUGGGGAGCAAACAGGAUUAGAUACCCUGGUAGUCCACGCCGUAAACGAUGUCGAUUUGGAGGUUGUGCCCUUGAGGCGUGGCUUCCNGGAGCUAACGCGUUAAAUCGACCGCCUGGGGAGUACGGCCGCAAGGUUAAAACUCAAAUGAAUUGACGGGGGCCCGCACAAGCGGUGGAGCAUGUGGUUUAAUUCGAUGCAACGCGAAGAACCUUACCUGGUCUUGACAUCCACAGAACUUAGCAGAGAUGCUUUGGUGCCUUCGGGAACUGUGAGACAGGUGCUGCAUGGCUGUCGUCAGCUCGUGUUGUGAAAUGUUGGGUUAAGUCCCGCAACGAGCGCAACCCUUAUCCUUUGUUGCCAGCGGUCCGGCCGGGAACUCAAAGGAGACUGCCAGUGAUAAACUGGAGGAAGGUGGGGAUGACGUCAAGUCAUCAUGGCCCUUACGACCNAGGGCUACACACGUGCUACAAUGGCAUAUACAAAGAGAAGCGACCUCGCGAGAGNCAAGCGGACCUCAUAAAGUAUGUCGUAGUCCGGAUUGGAGUCUGCAACUCGACUCCAUGAAGUCGGAAUCGCUAGUAAUCGUAGAUNCAGAAUGCUACGGUGAAUACGUUCCCGGGCCUUGUACACACCGCCCGUCACACCAUGGGAGUGGGUUGCNNAAAAGAAGUAGGUAGCUUAACCUUCGGGAGGGCGCUUACCACUUUGUGAUUCAUGACUGGGGUGAAGUCGUAACAAGGUAACCGUAGGGGAACCUGCGGUUGGAUCACCUCCUUACCUUAAAGAA
rnacentral:rRNA from 1 species